rnacentral:rRNA from 1 species
UACGGAGGGAGCUAGCGUUAUUCGGAAUUACUGGGCGUAAAGCGCACGUAGGCGGCUUUGUAAGUAAGAGGUGAAAGCCCAGAGCUCAACUCUGGAAUUGCCUUUUAGACUGCAUCGCUUGAAUCAUGGAGAGGUCAGUGGAAUUCCGAGUGUAGAGGUGAAAUUCGUAGAUAUCCGGAAGAACACCAGUGGCGAAGGCGGCUGACUGGACAUGUAUUGACGCUGAGGUGCGAAAGCGUGGGGAGCAAACAGG